AUAUUAAUGUGGAUAGUAUUAUGCCUCCCUUCAUAUUAACUUAUAUACAUACAGAAUGCUCAUGCUUUGAAAGGUCUGUUCACAAAAGUCUCGGAACAAAAAAUUAUCUGUGUAGAUGUAUGAGGUCAAUUUCAAUAGUGUUUUGGAUGAUUUCUACUAGUAAUUGGCUUAUGGAAAUGUCUUUAUUUACCUUAUUUUUCUUGCUUUACAUAAUAGGGUACCAUCACCACAUUUGUCACCUUUUGUUGACAAUGAGGCUGAAGGUUAUAUU
rnacentral:lncRNA from 1 species